GAUGAACGCUGGCGGCGUGCCUAAUACAUGCAAGUCGAGCGAACAGACGAGGAGCUUGCUCCUCUGACGUUAGCGGCGGACGGGUGAGUAACACGUGGAUAACCUACCUAUAAGACUGGGAUAACUUCGGGAAACCGGAGCUAAUACCGGAUAAUAUAUUGAACCGCAUGGUUCAAUAGUGAAAGACGGUUUUGCUGUCACUUAUAGACGGAUCCGCGCCGCAUUAGCUAGUUGGUAAGGUAACGGCUUACCAAGGCAACGAUGCGUAGCCGACCUGAGAGGGUGAUCGGCCACACUAGAACUGAGACACGGUUCAGACUCCUACGGGAGGCAGCAGUAGGGAAUCUUCCGCAAUGGGCGAAAGCCUGACGGAGCAACGCCGCGUGAGUGAUGAAGGUCUUCGGAUCGUAAAACUCUGUUAUUAGGGAAGAACAAAUGUGUAAGUAACUAUGCACGUCUUGACGGUACCUAAUCAGAAAGCCACGGCUAACUACGUG
rnacentral:rRNA from 1 species